GUCAGCUCGGGGUCAGAAAGGCUUAGAGUGUUAGACAAACGUGCGACCUCUAUUGUCAGCUCGGGGUCAGAAAGGCUUAGAGUGUAAGACAGAAUGUUUCAUUUUUACUGUUCUAACUGUGCUGAGGGUUUAUUUAUUAUGAAAAUUAGAUUUAGGUUAAUUUCAUUUAAAUUAUCAAACAAACUACGGUAUUUAUUUCCGUCAAGCAAAAACAUUAAUUAAUAUUUACACAUUUUAUGACAUUACCAAACAGUAACACAUUUACGUAAUCGGUAUCAACAACAUCAUUGAAAUUUUCAAUAAUGAUGACGGACAAUUUCAAAUCAAAUAUGUUAGUUCAAAAAGAAAUAGAGAAUAAUAGGUUAGUGUUGAUUAUAGAUCAGGUUUAUCAUGCGAGGCUUAGAAAACAAAAAGCACGAGCCUUGGCGAGUCCUUUUUCGUUUUCGUGCCGAGCAUGAUAAACAUGAUCUUUAAUCAACACUAAACUAUUAUUCUAUUUUAUCUCACUAUUUUUAUUCAUUAAACCUUUUUUUUAACAAAAUUAGUUUUCAUGAGUGCUUGUCGUUCUUUGAUAAUGACUGCAGUGUAACCAAGGUCAGUGUAUAGUGUAACCAAGGUCAGUGUAUUACUCCGCGUUCCAAAAAUAACCGCUGAUCAAAUUGUCAUUUUAAAAAAUCAGAAUAUCGUUCUGUGACAAAGAGUCGUGCGUUGCUAAUAACAAUUUUAUUCAUAUUGAAUUGCAAAUCUAAAAGUUUUAUAACAUUAAUAUAACAUUUAGUUGUUAUAUACAAAGAACUACAUUUGUAUACAACGUAGCCUAACACCACACACAAUUCACUUUCGAUAUUCAAACUAUCAACUAGAACACGAGAUGCAAAAUAUUUGCUUCUAUGUUGUAAUAUGUGGUUAUUUUGUGACGAAAUAACAAUAACAACUUGGAUUUAAUCUAAUUAUACACAUUUAAAUUUGAAUGUGGAAAGUGGCACCAAAGAAUUGUGAGGCAAAGUUGUACGAACAAGAGAAAGACAUUUGCUGGUGAAGUGACUGGGUGGGGCGAACAUCAAGAUCAACUUGUUCAACGGUAGACAGUGGUUGUUUAGGCUGCAUUUCGACCAUAGUUUCAGCGCAUGAAUGUGAACAAGAGGAAGAGGAAGCUGUUUAAUUGUUACAUUUACUGUACUGAGCAAGAAUGUUGGAACACUUUUGCUGCUGUUCAACAGAUAUGGUGGAAUAAUUGGUUAUGGACUGGACAUUGUUGUGCCCUGUUAUGGCCAUGAUUUCAGUGGUAGGAAUGUUUUUAUUUCGAAGUUUUUUUACCAGGAAUUUGAGCGAAACUGAGUGGUUUGUUAUUCUCUUGUGCUCGGGAAAGGCGGCGUCUUUUGCCAUGGCCUUCAACAUCUGACCUAGCUUGUUGACACCCAAUUGUUGACGCAAGAGCCACUGGGAUGCAGUGCCAAUUGUGCGUGUUGCCAGGUAGAAAGGGUGCUGAUCUGAAGAAAAAUCAAAUGGACGCAUAUUCGAGUACAGUUUGUAAAUUAACACGGGAUUUCUUGGUCCAGAAGUGCCGAACAUCUUGGGAGACACUUUUCUUAUGUCAGCGAUGUUCUCUCCUGUGCGCGUUUUCGUUUGCCGCUCGUAUAACUCGAGAUACUCCACACCAUUCGAGUCUUCACGGAGGCGGACGUCUCCCCACCUAACAAGAUACAAGAAUCUUCAUUUAAUGUCAGAUAUGAACAACAAUAAAAUACAGCAUUUAAGUUUAAACGGAUGUACAUUGAGAAAUGGGGUGAAAUAAUAAUGAGAAAAAUUGAUACAUAUUUUGUGUGUUUGUGUGUUAAUAAUGUUUCUUACCGCAAAUUGUAUUGCUCCGUUGUUCCCCGCAAGCCAAAAUGAAGGCAGUUGUUCAACCAGAUUGUAUUUAACAAGGCCUUUGGAGACUCGGUGCCAAGGAUCCCCUUCUUCCAGAGCAGAUCGAUGUCGGUAUCACUCAGCGGAUGGGCCUCCCUAGGACGGUUUCCCUUACUCUUAAUUGGUGUCCCUUGUGAGUGCAAAUUGGGCUCCAGUCCCUGUCAUGACUGAACAUCCAUAGCAAUGUCGUUUCAGGUACCUGUCAACACUAGCAAUGAUGCCACGGAGGGAGCUUGGUUCAAUAUCUGUGCCAUUUGACUUUUUAAGGGACAACAGGAAAGUGGCUAAAUACUCAUCCAGAGGAGUUGUUUCUAUGUGGUGGAUUUCUUUUGAUUCAGCUUUUGACAUUAGAAACCUUUUAAAUUUGUUUAUGUCAGACAACGUCUUCGCUACAGUCUUUUUAUUUUCAUUUUGGACAAUGAAAUCACCAGCAUCAGUGAGGUUAACAUAUAAGCACUCUUUAUUGUCAUGCAUGUCUGGAAUAGGAUCUAAAGUUGUGGGGAUGACAUUGCUACUGGAUGGUGCGUUACUACUGGGGCUGGUUUCAUUCUCAAUGGUCAAUUCAAUUUCAUUUGUGAACAAAAUAGAUGGAUCAAACCCAUGUUGUUACUGGAACUGGCUUAGUGUUAAUUCCAUUUGCUCAUUUUCAUUUUUUAAUUCAUCUAAAGUUAAUGAAAAAAUUGACUUUGUCAAAUUCGUCAGACAUUUUGAGGGGUUUACAAUUUCGCAGACGAUUGUGUUCUAUAGUCAAAGGGGAGCAACUCGAACUGACUCCGUCAAAGGGGAGCAACAACAACAAAACCUAAUUGCAACAUGUUGUUAAAUUUACCUAAUACUAGAAGUUUAGUGACAAUAAAUGACAACAAACGCG